rnacentral:rRNA from 1 species
GACAGAGGGUGCAAACGUUGUUCGGAAUUACUGGGCGUAAAGCGCGUGUAGGCGGCCCUGCAAGUCGGGUGUGAAAUCCCACGGCUCAACCGUGGAAGUGCACUCGAAACUGCAGGGCUAGAGUCCUGGAGAGGAAGGUGGAAUGCUUGGUGUAGAGGUGAAAUUCGUGAGAUAUCAAGCGGAACACCGGUGGCGAAGGCGGCCUUCUGG